UACGUAGGGUGCGAGCGUUAAUCGGAAUUACUGGGCGUAAAGCGUGCGUAGGCGGUUCCUCAAGUCCGUUGUGAAAGCCCCGGGCUCAACCUGGGAAUGUCAGUGGAAACUAGGGGACUGGAAUCUGGCAGAGGGGGGUGGAAUGCCGCGUGCAGCAGUGAAAUGCGUAGAGAUGCGGCGGAACACCGAUGGCGAAGGCAGCCCCCUGGGCUGAGAUUGACGCUCAGGCACGAAAGCGUGGGGAGCAAACAGG
rnacentral:rRNA from 1 species